rnacentral:rRNA from 1 species
UGGGAACGUGCCUUUUGGUUCGGAACAACCCAGGGAAACUUGGGCUAAUACCGGAUAAGCCCUUACGGGGAAAGAUUUAUCGCCGAAAGAUCGGCCCGCGUCUGAUUAGCUAGUUGGUGGGGUAAUGGCUCACCAAGGCAACGACGGGUAGCUGGUCUGAGAGGAUGGCCAGCCACAUUGGGACUGAGACACGGCCAAGACUCCUACGGGAGGCAG